rnacentral:rRNA from 1 species
CUGGCUCAGAUUGAACGCUGGCGGCAGGCCUAACACAUGCAAGUCGAGCGGCAGCACAGAGGAACUUGUUCCUUGGGUGGCGAGCGGCGGACGGGUGAGUAAUGCCUGGGAAAUUGCCCUGAUGUGGGGGAUAACCAUUGGAAACGAUGGCUAAUACCGCAUGAUGCCUACGGGCCAAAGAGGGGGACCUUCGGGCCUCUCGCGUCAGGAUAUGCCCAGGUGGGAUUAGCUAGUUGGUGAGGUAAUGGCUCACCAAGGCGACGAUCCCUAGCUGGUCUGAGAGGAUGAUCAGCCACACUGGAACUGAGACACGGUCCAGACUCCUACGGGAGGCAGCAGUGGGGAAUAUUGCACAAUGGGCGCAAGCCUGAUGCAGCCAUGCCGCGUGUAUGAAGAAGGCCUUCGGGUUGUAAAGUACUUUCAGUCGUGAGGAAGGUUGUAGUGUGAAUAGCACUAUGAUUUGACGUUAGCGACAGAAGAAGCACCGGCUAACUCCG